rnacentral:rRNA from 1 species
UACGUAGGGUGCAAGCGUUAAUCGGAAUUACUGGGCGUAAAGCGUGCGCAGGCGGCUUUGCAAGUCAGAUGUGAAAUCCCCGGGCUCAACCUGGGAACUGCAUUUGUGACUGCAUCGCUCGAGUGUGGCAGAGGGGGAUGGAAUUCCGCGUGUAGCAGUGAAAUGCGUAGAUAUGCGGAGGAACACCGAUGGCGAAGGCAAUCCCCUGGGCCUGCACUGACGCUCAUGCACGAAAGCGUGGGGAGCAAACAGG